CUACACCCCAUUGUCCAGACUUGUGGAGCCCAGUGCAUGGCCGGAUUAACAAUGGGGCGGAUGGAGCUGCAGCUCCAGGCCCCCCAUUGCAAAUAGGCCCACAGGAGUGACAGCAGUGACAGGAAUAAUCUCUUUCCUGUCACAGACUGCCAGCGCCCAUGCUCUCUCCCGUGCAUCUCCUCCUCUGGCUCCAGCACUCACCUGAGAUCCGUGCAGGCAGUGUGGUAGCCGCCCCUCCCCUCCAGUCUCUCCUUCAAUCAGGGCCCUGAGCCUGUCACUUACAGGCCCAAGCUCCGCCCCCAGACUGCACGGGGAGCUGCUGCUGAUGCAGGAAGCCUGAUGUACCCUGUCGCUAGGCAACGGACGGCGCGGAGGUGAUCAUGUCAUAGCCGGCGGACGGAGACGUGGCGCUCGACUCACCGUGUGCUGGUGGCAGUAAUUCCUACUUACUUAAGAAAAAUAAAAGCUGUCUUAGAGAGUCUGAAUUGUUCCUGUACGUUGGUUUAAGAAGUUUGCAGUACCCUACAUUGGAUAUUCCUCUAAAUUUAGGAUAUUAGCAUUAGGAUUUUUAGUGGUGCGUGUUUAGGGAUACUUUCCCAAGCAUUACGGUUCUACAGUGAGGACAUCGCUCUUACAUAUAAAACUGCAAACGUCAUCAUUCGUGUCGGCACUAAAACCUACCCCAUGUGCAACGGGUUUGUCUGAAACAAGCGUCCAUCAUACGCAUGACUCAACAUGGGAUGGAACUCUGGCUACACGCCCACAGCCCUCCCAAUACCCUGCCAGGGGAUACUCUCUUGUGUGCAUCAGCAAAGCAGCCACCCAGUUGCCACCCAGAAAUGUCCAUUUCACGAACUGAGAGAUACGAUUGAUCUAUAUAUUAACAAAUGCUAUAGCUCCAGCAUAUUCAAUUGUGCUUUACAAUGCAUAAUUUUUCUACCAAUGUGGUGGGGGGCCAUCAGGGCGAUCGCCGGCAGUAACACAUACCAUCUCCAUGGACACUUUGGCCGUCCACGACCUCCAAUUUCUUUAGGAAUUAAUGGAGCGAUUGCCGGCUGCAAAUAGUCGUAUUAUGCAGCAAGCCAUGUUGCAGCAUGCUGCAUCACAGCAAAGAAGAACAUGGUUACAUCUGUAGGCUAGCUGCUGUUGCAUACAAAUCUGCAUGUGACUGGUAGGUUAGUUGGUUUCUGACAAAAAUGAACACUAAUGUGUAUGUGUGUAAGUGAUGUAGCAGCGCAGGGACUGGUGUGAAUAACAAUAUUCUCUGUGAGGAGCUGCGUAAUAUG